UUGUUGUUAAGAAGUUUGUUUCACAAUGUUUGCAUUUUCACAUUGACCUAUUGUAUGGCAUCAUAGGCAAGUGUCUUCUAUCCUGACUACUGAAGUUGUAUGGAUGCCUGUAGGUUGUGUCUGUUUACAUCAAGGAGGAAAAUUGCUGUUGAAGCAAUGUACUCUUGUAUUUUAUUCCACUUUGAAGUAUAUAAACAUUUCCAUAUCAUUGGCUAUUGGAAAUAUGCAGUGAACAGAAUGGUCUGUUGGAAACUUAUAAAAAUUUAUUCUGUUGGUCAUACAACACAAAGUAUAAAUAACUAAGUUUUAUUGAUGCAAGGUGUUUACUAAAUUGAAAUUCAGUUGGCUUAAAACUACUGUUAGUAUUUAAAUAUGGUUGCUGUUCUGAACUGAAUAACAUAACCUCCAAAAUUUACUCUUGGAGAAAGGGAAAAGAAUUGUUUACAAGUAAUCCACAAAAAGAUGGGAAGUUAUUUCAAGAAAUUGAGAAUUUCCAUGUUGAAGGGAGACAUCUGAUGCCAGUGUAGCUGGUGAUAGUAAUGGACAUGUUUCAGUGUUCUUGGGACAUAAGAGAAGCGUAGCAUAAAUUUGCGUCGUUGAACUAAGGGGAAUAAUUCUUAAGCCAAUGUCUAAACUAACUGAUGUACUGAACGAAAUCAAAUUCAAAUGCUUUUGGAAAAAUUUGAUUUUUGCUCGGACGGUGACAUGUUUUAAUUUUAGCAGAUAUCGUCAGUGAAACUAUUCAGUCAUAUCUUUAAUAUGCUCCAAUAUUGUUAUUUACGACUAUGAAGUAGAAGAAUGUUUUUGUAAACUACUUCAUUAUCCUUGGUCAUCCAUUCAAGUCAUUCUUCAGAACAGCUCAUAACACAAGUGCCGUUGUUCUCUUAAAAGCUACAUCACUGAGUAUAUAAUAUAAAAUUUAACUUCAGACUGAAACUUUUCUACUGAAUUCAACUUUUUAAAGUGCAUAGUAAUUUGUCCCCUACUAAAAGAGGUCCAAGGGGAAAUAUUAAUCCUUUAGCAUAUCCUUGUUUAUGUUCAUUCUGGCCACUCACAUUUACUCUUAUAUCCUAUAAGUAUACAGACAAAUUACCAAAAUCUCACAAGUUAUGAGAUAAUGCAUGAUUAAUUCAAAACCUGGAAGAAAUAUAACAUUUGACAGUAAUCAUCAUUGCUAAAGAGUUAAGGAAAAUAAAGUAAAAGUUACUGAAGAAAAAUAUGCAACAAAUGUCAUUUGAACUGAGCAACAGUUCAUAUAAUAAAACACGUCAUUCUUCAUC